rnacentral:lncRNA from 1 species
GUUGGCCAACUGUUCCCUCAGUGAGCAAUGUUGGGACUACCUUUCUGAAGUUCUUAGGCAGAACAAAACUCUGAGCCAUCUAGACAUCAGCUCCAAUGACCUGAAGGAUAAAGGACUGAAGAUUCUCUGUAGGGCUCUGACUCUCCCAUACUGUGCCCUGAAGUCACUAUAUUUGAACAAUUGUCAAAUCACCGCAAGGGGCUGCCAGGACCUGGCUAAAGUCCUGAGGAACAACCAGAACCUGAAGUGCUUACACAUUUCAAACAAUAAGCUAAAAGACGCUGGUUUGAUGCUGCUGUGUAAGGCUAUAAAACAUCCCAACUGCCACUUAGAGGAUCUACGAUUGGAAGCCUGUGAGAUAACUGGUGCCAGUAAUGAGGACCUUCGUUAUGCUUUUAUGCAGUGUGAGACCUUGCAGAUGAUCAACCUAAUGGGGAAUGCCUUAGAAAUUGUGGAUUACUGACUUUGAUAAUGAAUUCCAGGCAAUUUUGCUUUCUGAGAAAUGAAAAAAAAUCACUUCUUGACCAUCAGAAGCAGUGUAGAAGCAGAUGCAGAAAACAAGGAUGGAAAUUCUGAUGCAAGAACCAUGGGUGAACAGUCCAAUGAGAUAUGGUUUCUUUAUACCUUAUUCAGAUGUGUUUUGCAAGAGAGAUAUGGCUUUUUGUUUGCACUACAGUUUCAGAGAGGUCAUUCAAAGAUAUUCAUGCGAAAAUGACUACAUUAUAAUGACUUCUUUCCCUACACAAGUUUCUUAACACUCAAUAAAAUGUUAAGUAUCUUUAAAUAAUGUUUUAGAAUCUCU